GGGCUAGCCUGAUCUCUGGGGGCAGAAUGUUCCAGAGGGUGGGAGCCACUGCAGAGAAGGCCCGCCUCCUGGACCCCGCUAGAUGGAAUUCUUUUACGGAUGGGGUCCAUAACAUGCUCUCUGCAUGAUCGGGUGGGACGGGUUGAUGUGAUGGGGAUGAGACGGCCCCUCAGGUAACCUGGGCCCAUUCCAUGUGGGGCUUUAAAGGUGAUAACCAACACCUUGAAUUAGUUCACAUAAUAUCCCCCCCCACACCAAGGGCAGGAAUAUUAAAUGCUAGAAAACAAAACAAAAAACAACAUUCACUGACAUCAGGGUAGUUAACAGAUAAGCUGAUUAUAACUAUGGGAGACCUUGCAUUAGUUGGUGCCUCAUUUUCAUUUCUGCUGCACAGUAUUUGCUACAAUCUGGGUUACAAAAGAUUUGAAGUCUCGAGAAAAGUAACUCAUGUAAAAGUUGUUCUUUCAGGAUACUGAUGAAGUGGGAGUACAACGUUAAGUGUUGCAGAUGUCCUUAUAGAUGCUAUAGUAAAAUAAGACAUACUGAGCUGUUUCAAAAACACCCGUUCCACGUGAAGUUCAGUGCUACCCGUCACAUUUUCAAGGGCUCCAAUCUGCUGCUACGACCAGAAGGAUGGUCUCCAGCCAUCCCACUUUCACUCACCAAGCCUGUGGCUUCCUCUUCACCAUGCCCUGGCGUCGCCACUGAGAGUGGGGGCUCAGAUGGUAUGUCAGCUGCCUGCAGAGCUUCUCCAUAGCCCCUAAUGAGUCUCCCUCCUGCAGCAACAACAAAAGAGGAAGAAUAAUUAUUGACAAGGAACGCAUGCCAGGGAAAGAGCCUGAAGGAGGCUACAAACAUGUCUUUGUAGACAAUGUGCAGGACCUCUUGAGAAGCUAUCUUGCUGGAGGCAAAGGAGACUAGACACAGAAUAGCUUCUGCAGGAUUCAGGACUCUCUGGAUAAGCAAGCAACCAGUUCUUAGCUGAGUGAGUGGGGGGAGGAAAUGGGUUUGAAGCUGGCAAGUCCUUUCUCCCCAUUGUGAUGAAUAUCACUUUUCUACAGACCAGUUACAAUGUUAACUAUCAAAUUCCCAGUUUUAUUGCAAGUACUCAAAACUCUGGCAGGGUAAUCUAAGCCAAUAUGGUAGAUCCAUCUCUCGCUAUUGCUACUAUUUCUUCCAAGGGUGACACGGUUGAUUAAGAUUCUUAGUCUGCUAAGCAGCAGGCUCACAUUGCCCCAGCCAAGCCCAGUGAGAUAUAGCCAGUGGUGAACCUGCAAGUACCACUGUAGAUCAGACAGUAACUUGCUUAAACUAUUGUUUCCUUAAGAUGACACAAGGUUCUUAGAACUGAUCGACCUCCAACUAGCUCUUUCAUUCACUGUGAAGCAUGCAAUGGAGAAAUGUUUAGCUCUGUUCUAUCAUUGAUUCAGGGAGCUCUGCAGCAAGGUUAGUAUGCAUAACAUGUUUCCACUGGAGAAGAACUCUAGCCCACAGCCUCAGCAAUGACUCAGGAAGUGCAAUUACUUGGCUUGGCUUGCUAUCUUUCACACAGAAGUUGUGAUUUCAUCCUGCUACCAACCAUUGCGGUUAUGGUGGAUUGUGCAGAGUGAAUUCUGCAUGCCAGGACUCCCUCUGUGUGCAGUGAAAGACUCUUUGCAGACCUCUGUAAAAGCACAUUAGAAAGAUGGGCAAAGCAAUCUGCUAACCAAACAGCCUCAUUUACUUAAAGAGUCUUAUCGCUUUUCUGCAGUGCAAAUAUCACUACAUUUUCUCACAUUCCUUGUAAAAAAGCAGCCAGAGGAAACAGAGCAGAUCCAAAAAAUCCAGAACAUGGCAAGUUCAAAAGAUAAACACCUUUAUUUCAGGCAGGCUUUGGGGUGGAUGGGGAGGUGCUUCCCCUUCCAAGCUGCAUACAUCCACAGGCUAUCGCCAGCAGCACACCUGGGCACGCAUUUUAUCUGGCAGCCCCUGCUAUCCAUUGCCAUGUAAGUAGCAACAGAGAACGGGAGCAGCAGCUAGAGGGGCUAUGCCUCUCAUAUGCUGCUGACCUACCUUCCUCUUCCAUUAACUACAGUCUGCAUCAACCUUGUCCCCAUUCUCAGUAACAAUAUCAUCAGAUCACAUUUAAAACCUUUUCCUAAUGAUGCACUGAGAGCCAGUUUGGUCUAGUGGUUAAGGCACCAGGCUAGAAACUGGGACACGGGGGAUUUCUAGUCCAGCCUUAGGCACAAAGCCAGCUGGGUGAUCCUGGGCCAGUCAUAUUCUCUCAGCCCUAGGAAGAAGGCAAUGGCAAACCACUUCUGAAAAACCUUGCCAAGAAAACUGCAGGGACUUGUCCAGGCAGUCUCCCAAGAAUUGGACACGACUGAACGGAUUAGAAAGAAAUGAUGCAUUACCAAAAGGAAGCAAGAAAAGAAAACCCCACUCAGAUAUUUACAAGAACUUGGCUAGCAAUGCCCAGCUUUGCCUUUUAUAUGUAGUUGCUCAAGAACAUUUGGUAGGAAGAGGGAGGUAGUCAAGCAGUUGUGUGGCUGCAAUCAAAUCAAAGACACCAAUUGUACUGGAGCAGGACAGUGUGGAAUAGAGGUCACCAGGCCAAACAGAAAAAACAGAUUGGGCUGUCUGACAAAAAAACUAAGUUCAAGUAGCAGAACUUCCAAUAGAACAAGCCUGAGAUUAAGCAAAUGGGCAUAAAGCUACAUCCUAUCAAAGCCAAUGAUGAAGGGAAAAAAAGCAGAGGAAAUCCUAAUGCUGCAGUGGUGAAAGAGGAUUCAGCUCAGUUUCUUCCAGCAGAACUUGCUUUUACCCAAAGGCAGCAGACUAUUUAUUAGUAUUUAUUUGUUGAUUAAUAUCAUGUCUUUCCUCCAAGUGCCCAAGAUGGCAUACAUCAUACUUUUGUUUUACGAUUGCAACAAUCCCGUUGGUCUGAGAAAAUGAUCUGCCCAAGAGUCUCCAUGGCUGAGGGUGGAUUUGCAUCUGAGCUUCCCAGGUUCUAGUCCAACACUGACACUCUUCUCUGAUUUAGAUAUACGAUUACCAUUGCCAAAUCUCUCCAUAGCACAAAGUAGCCAUCAUUUUCUCACUACAUCCAUUUCUGCUUACUGUCCCAUGUCCAGAUAAUGCCUGGGGAUAAUGCUUCCUAUUUUAAUCAUGGAAUCAGAGCUGAGUAUUCAAAGUGAAUUAAAAAGUUUAAGUGAGGUAUAUGGCUGCCAAGUGCUAAGUCCUGGGAAUGUGGAAAACAUUUUAAAUUUGUAACGUUUCAAGUUGUCUGUGGCUGUUCUGAUUUUAAAUCAGGUUGUUCCAACCUUAUUGGAAGUUUUCCAAUGCUGUUCUCACCAUGUUGGAAGUGUUUCACACUCAAAGCAAGGCCAUUUGAGGCGCCUAACCCUUCUUGAAGGGUCAAAACUGCUUUGGAACCCUUCCAGGAAAACCAGGGCAGUCCAUGUCAAACUAGGAACAGAGAGUUUUGAAUCUGAAAAUUGAUGUUAUAACAACGUGGCUCGCAUCCAUCUUGCUCAAUGGAAAGUAGGACAGAACUUGCUAUUUAAGACCUGCAAUUCCCAGAGAUAAAGCCCCAGCAAAGGGCCCCUCGGGGAAUACUGGUUCUGGGCCUCCCAGCCUACAACUCCCUUCCUAAGCUGCCUCCCUUCACUCCUUUAAUUUAUCAUCUUCAAAUGUCACAACUAAAAAUGGGUGCUGGAAUGUUAUCAGUACCAGGAACUCAAUGCUGCAGAGCUGCAGCCAAUAAAAUUCCAGGCAUGCAUUGAAGUCUGUCUGAUUCUCCAUAUUAGGGGGUAGAGAGGAAUCUUUCCCACCCAGAUUUAGUCACAUGCUGGGUUGGGACCAAUUUAGUCUCUUUGCUAGGCUGGGACCAACUAACUGCAGUACCCGUGUUCUUCACCUAUGGCAUGCUAACUGUCUGGAGGACAAAUGUUGUUUGGGUAGUGGGGAAGCACAAACAUUGCAGAAUGUCCUGGUUUUCAGUAAUGUUCCUGCUGUUCACACAUGGCCUUUAGUACCAAAUACUGUUGUUAGUACCCUCCACUUUGGACUGGAUCCAUCCUAGUUCUCAUCACAGGGAAUAUGUAAAGCUGAAAUUAACCACUGCCUUUAUUUUCAAGUCAAAUACCUUUCUUGGAAAGAGAUGUUAUAGAAAGGCUUUAAAAGUCCCUGCUAUGCUAGGAAAUCUCCUUCUUGGCAGGUCACUUUCCUACAUUCUUAGGGAAUUUAAUCCAUUCCAGGAACUCAGAGUUCUAAUCCCAGGAGGGAGGGAGGGGGAGAGGGCUUUGGCUGCCGAGAAAAACUCUAUAACCUUACUUAUUCUGAGCUUCACACAGAAACUAAAAACCCAACUUUAGUGGCAGCUUCUCAGUCUGUUUCUAAAGAGAUACUUCAGUGGGUGGAAGGGAGCAGGAGAUGCUGGUGAACGCCAGACUCCCUGGGCCCACCAUCUACUCCCAGGGAAGUAACUAAUGACUCUGUUGGAUCAACCCCCUACUGAAUUUGGGCAUGAAUUAUUUACCAGGGCCUGUGAAAUAUUCAUGGCGACCUAUUUUACAUAACAAAGCAGGCCCCUGCUCUGGGGAGCCUAGCAGCGUAUACCUAUGAGCUGAAAUCCUGAUCAGGAAAAGUUUUUUGGAGAAAGGGAAUUGACAUUUUGGAGAUCUUGGCUUACAAUUAUAAGAGAUGCCAAUAUUAUUCUCAAGGUUGCUUUGUUACUAGCACUUUUUAAAAUUAAGCUCAGCAGCCACUCACCAAUCUUGCUCUCUCUCAUACAUCUUUGCCACUUGUUCCCACAUUUGUAAUGACCUAAGCAAUUCCAAAGUCCUUCAGCUAGUGAGUUGAAGCAUCUGUGCCAACUGAGACAGAAUUCUCCAGGCAUUUGGCACAGCUGCUGGUAGUGGUAUCUCCCAAAUAAUACCUCCCACUUAUAUGCUUUAGAGCUUACCCCUCCUAGUGCCCACCAACUCUAUUUUGCUCAAAUACACUGAUACACGGCAGCACUUAAUUAAGUGUCCUCAAGUCAUGUUGGCUUUUAACACAUGGAUAGAUUCUCCCCAGAAUUAUCUGUCUUCAAUUUGGCCUUGUGGAUCUCUCACGGGUGCAUUCACUGCUGCUGUAACUGAAGCCAUCCAUUUUGCCUCUGGAUGUCCUCCUCUUCUUUUUCCCAAGCAUAAUGGACUUGCUGAGUCUCCACAUAAUGUGCCCAAAAUAUGAUAGCAAAGCACCAGAGUGACUAGACCAGUGUUUCUCAACCUUGGCAACUUGAAUAAGUGUGGACUUCAACUCCCAGAAUUUCCCAGCCAGCAUGCUGGCUGGGGAAUUCUGGGAGUUGAAGUCCACACAUAUUCAAAUUGCCAAGGUUGAGAAACACUGGACUAGACUAUUGUGGAUCAAGCAUGGACAACCAGAGGCGCACAAACCCCUUGUUUAAAGCUCUAGCAGCCUCUUCUGACUAUGAUUCCUAGAAACUGAAGGCAGUGCCGUCCACAUUUUUUGAGGUCUGAAACAGAUGAAAUCAACAGUGUAAGCCCUAACAUUAAAAAAUAUUACAGUAUAUCUGAGACAAGUUUUGACUCUUGGUGAUUACACAUACACAGACAUGUAGUGGUUUUUAGGAAUUAUAUGGAAGUAGGUUUAUUGUUACUUUCUUUUCUCAAUUUUUUUUCAACUUCCCAGUUUGAUAUACAUCCAUGAGAUUUCCAGCUACUCUCCCAUCCAUACUUAAAAAAAAAAAUCCUAACCAGUACAAAUGAGGUCCAACUCUGAUAGCUUGUGACAUUCAGCUUAGUGCUCCCACCUAAUUGUGAAGCCCUAGACAGGCACGCAGGUUGUUGUCCACUCUUAGUGACUAGAUAGAUAGGUUUCCUCCAGGAGGAUCUGUCCCUAACCCAAUCCUUCAGGUCUUCCAACAGCGUACCCAUCGCCACUGUAACUGACUCCAUCCACCUUGCUGCGGGUCAUCUUCUUCUUCUCUUUCCUUCUACUUUUCCCAGCAUUAGAGUGGACUAAUUUGAACCUGGUAUUUUGUUCUUCAAGUGAGAAUUCUGGGUUGAUUUGUUUGAUGAUCCAUUUGGUUUUUUUUUUUUUUUGGCUGUCCACAGUAUUCUCAGGAGUCUUCCCCAACACUGAGGUUCAAAAGUGUCAAUACUUUUUAUCUGGCUUCUUCAAAAUCCAACUUUCACUUCCACAGAGUGUGCCACAAGAUGUACCAUUUCUUGCAAGGUUCUGAUCUCUAUAGGUAUAGACACAUCAUGGCAUAUCUUCUCCAAGGCCUUCAUGGCUGCUCUACCAAGUGCUAGUCUGCAGCUUAUUUCUUGACUGCUUGUUCCUUUACUGUUAAUGGUUGAUCCUAAAAGGCAGAAGCUGUCUAUUACUUUGAUAUGAUGUCUUCAUGGUCAAUUCCAAGGCUGGUUGUUGUA